rnacentral:sRNA from 1 species
UUCUGGCACUGGCAGUUGCUUGUUGAUAAAAUUUAAUCAUAUUACACAUAUUUCGCUCUUUACGGUCUGUUACCCCAAUAAGGCCCCUGGUUUUUUGGGGGGCUUGUUGGUCCAUGCAUGCUGGAGGUAUUUACUCUUGUUUACAGUUGUGCACGUCGACGAGAAUGGCCAAAAAUAUCCAAUUUGAAAUUAAUGCCUUUAGGAUAUUAUUCAUAAAAUUCGUCCUCCGCUGUUGUAAUUGCCCUGCGGCAUUUGGCGGGUUGAAGUCUUGCCAGCUACCGCAAAAGUUUAUUGUGUGCUAUAAAUUUAAUGCAACAAAUCAUUUGACCGAGGAAAGCCCAAGCUGACAAAGAUAGAAAGGAAAGGAAGGCGGCGGAGGUUGGUGCAAUAAAAUAAGUCAGUAAAAGAAAUAGUAGUAGACAAGUAUUUUACUGAGUCUAAUAAAACAUAGCAUUACAAACUUAA